rnacentral:rRNA from 1 species
UACGUAGGGGGCAAGCGUUGUCCGGAUUUAUUGGGCGUAAAGAGCGUGUAGGCGGCCGUACAGGUCAGCUGUGAAAACUCGAGGCUCAACCUCGAGACGUCGGUUGAAACCGUAGCGAGAGUCCGGAAGAGGAGAGUGGAAUUCCCGGUGUAGCGGUGAAAGUGCGCAGAUAUCGGGAAGAACACCCGUGGCGAAGGCGGCUCUCUGGGACGGUACUGACGCUGAGACGCGAAAGCGUGGGGAGCGAACAGG